GACUUGACUAACUUCUAUAGAUGGUAACGUAUUGAAAUUAUCAUUAUCGGAAUGAUUAAUCGUUACCAUCCCACAUAACCCAGACUUACUUAGUUUGAUUUCUUCGACAACUGCAAAUGCAAGCUACAACAAGCCCAAGAAAUGUAAAUAGCGUUCCAACAGAGAGAACCCAGUAACACCAGAUGGACACGUGACAUACAUCGGUACCGGUGGAUUAUCGUAAUAACCGUAUAACGGUUGCGAUACUUGCGGGGGUGGUGCGAAUGGAUGCAUAACAUGUACUGGUUGAACAUAAGGCAUCAUUUGUACCGGUGUGGUUGUACAGUCCAGAUAAUCUCUGGUUCAGCCGUGGUUGAUCUCGAGGAAGGUGUCAUUUCUGUUGUUUGAUACCUGCUAAGGGUUGUCCGAUCACAGGGUUGCUAUCCAAACCGGUGAGUUUUACGGAACCGCUUCUUUCGUCGAGGGCAGCCAACAGUUGAACGGGCAAAGCAGUGAAUUUAUUUCCU